ACGCUCGACACCUACGGAGGCAGCAGUGGGGAAUAUUGCACAAUGGGGGAAACCCUGAUGCAGCAACGCCGCGUGAGUGAAGAAGUAUUUCGGUAUGUAAAGCUCUAUCAGCAGGGAAGAUAAUGACGGUACCUGACUAAGAAGCUCCGGCUAAAUACGUCNCNNNCGCGAGUAUGNGCGGCGUGNGAGAG
rnacentral:rRNA from 1 species